UACGUAGGGCGCAAGCGUUAUCCGGAAUUAUUGGGCGUAAAGAGCUCGUAGGCGGUUUGUCGCGUCUGCCGUGAAAGUCCGGGGCUCAACUCCGGAUCUGCGGUGGGUACGGGCAGACUAGAGUGAUGUAGGGGAGACUGGAAUUCCUGGUGUAGCGGUGAAAUGCGCAGAUAUCAGGAGGAACACCGAUGGCGAAGGCAGGUCUCUGGGCCGAUACUGACGCUGAGGAGCGAAAGCGUGGGGAGCGAACCGG
rnacentral:rRNA from 1 species